rnacentral:rRNA from 1 species
UUAAUUGAAGAGUUUGAUCAUGGCUCAGAUUGAACGCUGGCGGCAGGCCUAACACAUGCAAGUCGGGCGGUAACAGGGAGAAGCUUGCUUCUCUGCUGACGAGCGGCGGACGGGUGAGUAAUGUAUGGGGAUCUGCCUGAUGGCGGGGGAUAACUACUGGAAACGGUAGCUAAUACCGCAUAAUGUCUUCGGACCAAAGCGGGGGACCUCCGGGCCUCGCGCCAUCAGAUGAACCCAUAUGGGAUUAGCUAGUAGGUGAGGUAACGGCUUACCUAGGCGACGAUCCCUAGCUGGUCUGAGAGGAUGAUCAGCCACACUGGGACUGAGACA